AGUCAUGCAAGAACGUCUAUUCUCGUCACUCGGCUUCAUGUCGUGCGCGCCCAACAUGAACACCCUCGAUCGAGAACAAACAAUACCUUGAGUCUACCUCUAAUAUCCGUCUUAGAGGUUCCGACACGACCCAAUCCAUUAACCUUUCGCCAUAAUCACAAGUCCUCGUGUCACGCCCCGGGACCGAUGCCAAUUUGGCCCGACCCGAGCACGUCAAACAGACGCCGAACGGACAGAGUUUCCCCUAUCCGCCCAAGGCUCAUCACAUGUACAAAAUUCAAACAAGAAUUGCACUAGCGGAAACAUACACAAACGGCUUACACGAGGGUAAGCAAUAGCCAUUAGUGAAAGAAAGGAAAACUAAACAUUCAUAAGUAAUAUGAUUCAAUUUAGAUCAUAUACAUACAUCCACCUUGUAACUUUUCGAAUUUCCUUACAUUUCGUUUCAUCAUUUCUUUCUUACAUCACAUUUACCUCCAAAUACACAUUACAGUCUUUUCUUUACACCAUUCAUCAUCAAGUACAAAAGAUGAUCGUAGGGUACUUUACUACAAAAUGAACCCAACUGUGGUGGCCUCUGACUAAGGCGCGAUACCUUUACCUCGGUCGCUCGCCGGCUCGUUCGGUCCCGGCUCUGUGGAAAUAGUGGGGUGAGAACUACAACAAAGUUCCCAGUGGGUUCGGCCUCAACAUCACCGACUUUCCCACUAGGACUAACUCAGGCAUAAUAGAAAGGAUAAGCUGAAGUAUGGUAACCAAGCUAUAACAUGAUG
rnacentral:lncRNA from 1 species